CAUUUUUAGCUCACCUGGCCUAAAAGGCCAAGUGAGCUUUUCUCAUCACUUGGCGUCCGUCGUCGUCCGUCGUCGUCGUUAACUUUUACAAAAAUCUUCUCCUCUGAAACUACUGGCCAAUUAAACCAAACUUGGCCACAAUCAUCAUUGGAGUAUCUAGUUUAAAAAAUGUGUCCGGUGACCCGGCCAACCAUCCAAGAUGGCCGCCAUGGCUAAAAAUAGAACAUAGGGGUAAAAUGCAG
rnacentral:lncRNA from 1 species